AGAACGAACGCUGGCGGCAGGCCUAACACAUGCAAGUCGAACGCCGUAGCAAUACGGAGUGGCAGACGGGUGAGUAACGCGUGGGAACAUACCCUUCGGUUCGGAAUAACUCAGGGAAACUUGAGCUAAAUACCGGAUACGUCCGAGGUUUUAAUCGACCUUGGAGAAAGAUUUAUCGCCGGAGGAUUGGCCCGCGUCUGAUUAGCUUGUUGGUGAGGUAAUGGCUCACCAAGGCGACGAUCAGUAGCUGGUCUGAGAGGAUGAUCAGCCACAUUGGGACUGAGACACGGCCCAAACUCCUACGGGAGGCAGCAGUGGGGAAUAUUGGACAAUGGGCGAAAGCCUGAUCCAGCCAUGCCGCGUGAGUGAUGAAGGCCUUAGGGUUGUAAAGCUCUUUUACCCGGGAAGAUAAUGACGGUACCGGGAGAAUAAGCCCGGCUAACUUCGUGCCAGCAGCCGC
rnacentral:rRNA from 1 species